rnacentral:misc_RNA from 1 species
GUUGAAGUUGGAGGGGCCAUGUUGCUUAUUAAUUAGUGUGAUCUGUCUGCGAAUGAAUCAUUGUCUUAAAUAAACAUUAAACUUUUUGUUCCUAUCAAAUCUACAAGUCCUGUCCUUUAUAAUUUAAGAGAUGUUACCAUGGUGUCUUUAUCAUUUGUGAAAAUGCUAAUGUGUCCUAAAAUACUCUUUUUUUCUGUACUGUAUUGAGGAAAUUCUGAUAGUUGUUUUGUCUUGUGAAUUUUAGACUAUCAAUGAGAUGAGAG